GUCCCAGAUAAUAGCUAUCCUGUUACCCUUGUUACAAGCCUUACCCGAACAAGUGUCAGAAAUCUUUAAUUACAUAAUUGUAGAGAACAAAGCUGCUCUUGCUGAGCAUUUUCAUGAAAUCUACUUCCUGCCAGACAUUCCAGAACUGACAGACUCUAAUACGGUUUUGAGAGAAUUGGGUGAAAGUUCUGCAUGUAAGAAAGAUCUGAAGAGCAUUCUUGCUCACUCCAUUAAAGGAAUUCACCAUGAGAGUUUUGAUGUCA
rnacentral:sRNA from 1 species